GGGGGCAACCCUGAUCCAGCCAUGCCGCGUGUGUGAAGAAGGCCUUUUGGUUGUAAAGCACUUUAAGCAGGGAGGAGAGGCUAAUGGUUAAUACCCAUUAGAUUAGACGUUACCUGCAGAAUAAGCACCGGCUAACUCUGUGCCAGCAGCCGCGGUAAUACAGAGGGUGCGAGCGUUAAUCGGAAUUACUGGGCGUAAAGCGAGUGUAGGUGGCUCAUUAAGUCACAUGUGAAAUCCCCGGGCUUAACCUGGGAACUGCAUGUGAUACUGGUGGUGCUAGAAUAUGUGAGAGGGAAGUAGAAUUCCAGGUGUAGCGGUGAAAUGCGUAGAGAUCUGGAGGAAUACCGAUGGCGAAGGCAGCUUCCUGGCAUAAUAUUGACACUGAGAUUCGAAAGCGUGGGUAGCAAACAGGAUUAGAUACCCUGGUAGUCCACGCCGUAAACGAUGUCUACUAGCCGUUGGGGUCCUUGAGACUUUAGUGGCGCAGUUAACGCGAUAAGUAGACCGCCUGGGGAGUACGGCCGCAAGGUUAAAACUCAAAUGAAUUGACGGGGGCCCGCACAAGCGGUGGAGCAUGUGGUUUAAUUCGAUGCAACGCGAAGAACCUUACCUGGUCUUGACAUAGUGAGAAUCUUUCAGAGAUGAGAGAGUGCCUUCGGGAAUUCACAUACAGGUGCUGCAUGGCUGUCGUCAGCUCGUGUCGUGAGAUGUUGGGUUAAGUCCCGCAACGAGCGCAACCCUUUUCCUUAUUUGCCAGCGGGUUAAGCCGGGAACUUUAAGGAUACUGCCAGUGACAAACUGGAGGAAGGCGGGGACGACGUCAAGUCAUCAUGGCCCUUACGACCAGGGCUACACACGUGCUACAAUGGUAGGUACAGAGGGUUGCUACACAGCGAUGUGAUGCUAAUCUCAAAAAGCCUAUCGUAGUCCGGAUUGGAGUCUGCAACUCGACUCCAUGAAGUCU
rnacentral:rRNA from 1 species